CAAUCCCGAGUAGAGUGGCGCACGGGUGAGUAACACGUAGAUAAUCUACCUUCAAGCCUGGAAUAACUAUUCGAAAGGAUAGCUAAUACCGGAUAAAGUUGAUUGACACAAGUUGAUUUAUGAAAGAUUGCCUCUUCUUGAAAGCAAUUGUUUGGAGACGAGUUUGCGGACCAUUAGUUUGUUGGUGGGGUAAAGGCCUACCAAGACUACGAUGGUUAGCUGGUCUGAGAGGAUGAUCAGCCACACUGGAACUGGUACACGGUCCAGACUCC
rnacentral:rRNA from 1 species